rnacentral:rRNA from 1 species
GUAAUUCCGGUGAAGAUGCCGGAUACCUGCGACAGGACGGAAAGACCCCAUGGAGCUUUACUGUAGCUUGACAUUGGGUCUUGGUACUACAUGUACAGGAUAGGUGGGAGGCUUUGAAACCAGGACGCCAGUUUUGGCGGAGCCAUCCUUGGGAUACCACCCUUGUAGUACUGGGACUCUAACCAUAGGCCAUGAAUCUGGUCUUGGGACACUGUCAGGUGGGCAGUUUGACUGGGGCGGUCGCCUCCCAAAAGGUAACGGAGGCGCUCAAAGGUUCUCUCAGUACGGGCGGAAAUCGUACGUAGAGUGUAAAGGCAAAAGAGAGCUUGAUUGCAAGACAUACAGGUCGAGCAAGGAUGAAAA